rnacentral:rRNA from 1 species
GACGAACGCUGGCGGCGUGCCUAAUACAUGCAAGUCGAACGCAGUGGGGACGGGUGAGUAACACGUGGGUAACCUCCCAUCAGAGGGGAUAACACUUGGAAACAGGUGCUAAACCGAUACUGAUGGAUGGACCCGCGGUGCAUUAGCUAGUUGGUGAGGUAACGGCUCACCAAGGCCACGAUGCAUAGACGAGCUGAGAGGUUGAUCGGCAACGCAGGGACGGAGACACGGCCCAGACUACUAAGGGAGGCAGCAGUAGGGAAUGUUCGGCAAUGGACGAAAGUCGGACCGAGCAACGCCGCGUGAGUGAAGAAGGUUUUCGGAGCGUAAAACUCAGUUGUGAGAGAAGCGGUAGCUAACCAGAAAGCCACGGCUAACUACGUGCCAGCAACCGCGGUAAGUC